GUCCAGACUCCUACGGGAGGCAGCAGUGGGGAAUAUUGCACAAUGGGCGCAAGCCUGAUGCAGCCAUGCCGCGUGUAUGAAGAAGGCCUUCGGGUUGUACAGUACUUUCAGCGGGGAGGAAGGCGAUAAGGUUAAUAACCUUGUCGAUUGACGUUACCCGCAGAAGAAGCACCGGCUAACUCCGUGCCAGCAGCCGCGGUAAUACGGAGGGUGCAAGCGUUAAUCGGAAUUACUGGGCGUAAGGCGCACGCCGGCGGUCUGUCCAGUCGGAUGUGAAAUCCCCGGGCUCAACCUGGGAACUGCCUUCGAAACUGGCAGGCUUGAGUCUCGUAGAGGGGGGUAGAAUUCCCGGUGUAGCGGUGAAAUGCGUAGAGAUCUGGAGGAAUACCGGUGGCGGAGGCGGCCCCCUGGGCGAAGACUGACGCUCAGGUGCGAAAGCGUGGGGAGCAAACAGGAUUAGAUACCCCUGUAGAC
rnacentral:rRNA from 1 species